UACGGGGGGGGCAAGCGUUGUUCGGAAUUACUGGGCGUAAAGCGCGCGUAGGCGGCUUUUCAAGUCAGACGUGAAAGCCCCAGGCUUAACCUGGGAAUUGCGUUUGAUACUGUUAAGCUAGAGUGUGGAAGGGGCUACUGGAAUUCCGUGUGUAGCGGUGAAAUGCGUAGAUAUCUGGAGGAACACCGGUGGCGAAGGCGGCGUUCUGGACUGUAGUCUGACACUGAUGAACGAAAGCCAGGGGAGCAAAGCGG
rnacentral:rRNA from 1 species